rnacentral:rRNA from 1 species
UACAGAGGUCCCGAGCGUUGUUCGGAUUCACUGGGCGUAAAGGGUGCGUAGGUGGUGAGGUAAGUCGGAUGUGAAAUCUCCGGGCUCAACCCGGAAAUGGCAUUGGAAACUACCUUGCUAGAGGAUUUGAGGGGGGAUUGGAAUACUUGGUGUAGCAGUGAAAUGCGUAGAUAUCAAGUGGAACACCAGUGGCGAAGGCGGCUCACUGGACUGGUAUUGACGCUGAGGUGCGAAAGCGUGGGGAGCAAACAGG